CGGCGACGUAGGUGACGGCCGACCAGUCGGCGCCGCAGGCGGCCAGGAGCUGGGCGGUCAGCUCCUUGUUGGACAGCUCGGUGCCGCCGCCGAUGU
rnacentral:tRNA from 1 species